UGGGGGAUAUUGCACAAUGGGGGGAACCCUGAUGCAGCGACGCCGCGUGGGCGAUGGAGUACUUCGGUAUGUAAAGCCCUAUCAGCAGGGAAGAAAAUGACGGUACCUGACUAAGAAGCCCCGGCUAAAUACGUGCCAGCAGCCGCGGUAAUACGUAUGGGGCAAGCGUUAUCCGGAUUUACUGGGUGUAAAGGGAGCGUAGGCGGCCUGGCAAGCCUGAUGUGAAAUACCGGGGCCCAACCCCGGGGCUGCAUUGGGAACUGCCAGGCUGGAGUGCCGGAGAGGCAGGCGGAAUUCCUAGUGUAGCGGUGAAAUGCGUAGAUAUUAGGAGGAACACCAGUGGCGAAGGCGGCCUGCUGGACGGUGACUGACGCUGAGGCUCGAAAGCGUGGGGAGCAAACAGG
rnacentral:rRNA from 1 species